rnacentral:rRNA from 2 species
UACGGGGGGGGCAAGCGUUGUUCGGAAUUAUUGGGCGUAAAGGGUUCGUAGGCGGUCGACUCAGUCAGACGUGAAAUCCCUCGGCUUAACCGGGGAACUGCGUCUGAUACUGGUUGGCUUGAGUGCAGGAGAGGAAUGCGGAAUUCCAGGUGUAGCGGUGAAAUGCGUAGAUAUCUGGAGGAACACCGGUGGCGAAGGCGGCAUUCUGGACUGUAACUGACGCUGAGGAACGAAAGCCAGGGGAGCAAACGGG